CUCUAUGAGCGGCGAUGGUGGGGAAGCCUUCGGGCUUGCUGGUUUCUUUGGGUACCAGUCGUCCAACCCUGCCAUUCGCCGCUCACCUCG
rnacentral:antisense_RNA from 1 species